rnacentral:lncRNA from 1 species
GAAUACUAUUCAGCCUUAAAAAGGACAUUUUGACGUAUGCAACAAUAUAGAUGAACCUUGAUGACAUUAUGGUAAGUGGAAAAAAACAAACACAAAAGGACAAAUAUUAUAUGAUUCUACUUAUAUGAGGAAUAGGCAAAUAGAAAGCAGAAUAGCGGUUACCAGGUGCUGGGGAAAGGGUUGAAUGGGGAGUUUUUAAUGGGUACAGAUAGUUUCUACUUGGGAUGAUGAAAAAGUUCUGGAAA